rnacentral:piRNA from 1 species
GUGGAGAAUAAGGUUGUGGGAACAAUA